rnacentral:lncRNA from 1 species
UGAGACGUCAUGAAUUGUUGGUUAUGGUCACAUGUGGUUGGGUUCUAUUGGGGGUUCAUAGUGAAAGUCGAGGGGGAAGAUUAGUUGAGUAUUGCUCGGUAAAUGGAGUAUUGGUUAUGACCUAUCGGGCUGAGUGACGUAUGUUAUUUGUUUCACCGUGAGGGUAAUGAAUUGCUUUGGUUCCAAAUAUCAAAUUGUGUGUGGCUAUCGGUUUUGAGCAUAGUGACUUGAGGUGUUUUAUGUGUAACAGUGUGUGGAUGGGAUUGUGCAUUAUGAUGAGGCCAUGUGGAGAUAUGACUUUUCGGGGUAGAUUCAUGUGUUCUAUUUCUAUUAUGAGAGAUGAGGUGUAAGCCUUAUGUUUUGAUGGUACUAAUGAGCUUGUGGUAUAACUCUUUUAUUUGAGUCAUUUUUCAUGAUUUGAGUAUGUUCAGAUUGUUUCUUAUUGGUGUGCAUAUUAUGCAAGUUGUGGCUUAGGCCUCU